GACUGUGCAAAGGUAGCAUAAUCAAUUGUCUUANAAUNGAAGACUGGAAUGAAGGAACGUCUGGAGAGUAACUGUAUUNUAGUAAUAUUAUGAAUUUAAUUAAAAAGUGCAAAUGCUUUUAGAUAAAUUUUAGACGAGAAGACCCUGGAAAUUUGUAAAAAAGUUUUGUUGGGGCGACAUGGGUAACAGGAAACUUACCUAAAGUUCUUUUGGAAAUUUCNUUAGACUAAACAAAUUACUCCAGGGAUAACAGCAUAAUUUUACGAAAGUUUGUGACCUCGAUUGUUNGAUUAGGAAGGGUUAUUGUUUAGAAAAUG
rnacentral:rRNA from 1 species